rnacentral:rRNA from 1 species
UACGUAGGGUGCGAGCGUUAUUCGGAAUUACUGGGCGUAAAGGGCUCGUAGGCGGCCAACUAAGUCAGACGUGAAAUCCCUCGGCUUAACCGGGGAACUGCGUCUGAUACUGGAUGGCUUGAGGUUGGGAGAGGGAUGCGGAAUUCCAGGUGGAGCGGUGAAAUGCGUAGAUAUCGGAAGGAACACCGGUGGCGAAAGCGGCGCGCUGGAUCUCUUCUGACGCUGAGGCGCGAAAGCCAGGGGAGCGAACGGG